UAAUAUGCAUUAUGCUAUUGUGUAUGUUAUAUGAAUGCCUAUGAGCAUAACUUAUGAUGACACUGGGCAGUAAUAGUAGCGAUAUACAGAAUAACAAUACUUUACCCUGCUGCAUAUUAACAAGAUCGACAAAAUGUGAAAUUUUAUUCUAGAUUGUAGGUGUCACAAGGAUUGAGAUUUGAUUAUGCACAAAUUAUACAAUUAUAAAUACAUUCAUUGCUCAAAGUAUUUGGUUGGACAGCGGACCUCGUUAAAAUGUGGAUUUACAUCGGGAUUGGAGGUGUGGUUGUAUUAGUUGCCUGCAUUUUGGUUUGCAUUGGCUAUUCUAUGUAUCAACGCCUUUUGAGAUUUUUGGAGAGCAAACGAGAAGUGAGAUUGCAUCGAGAGGAUGUUGGGCUUCAUGUUAAAAUGCAUCGCGGAGAAAAGUUGAAAAAACUUAUGAAAGAUUUCAAAGUAGACGAAUUCAAACGAGUCAGGAGAAAACCACAGUAAAUUUAUUACAUUCUUAGUUUCACUUGGUUUAUUCAGUAUUUGAUAUUUUAUUCGUCAAACUAACUUGAUGGCAUAUUGGUUGAUGGUGCUUCAAGAAAUUUAUAGGUAUUAAUGAUCAACUUUAUUUAAAAAAUAGUAUUUGUGCCUUUUACAUGUACUUGACUAAAUACGUACAUAUGUGAAUGACGCCCUUGAUAAGACAAAACAUGUUAUAAACCGUCCAUAAAUUGGUGUUCUCAAUUUUAAUAUUUCUUGCAUUUUACAUGUGAAAUUUAUGAAUCACUGCGUUUCAUUAUCUAUGAUAGUACGUACAACUUUGAUUUUAUGACCUGACAAUAACGUGCAUUAUUAUUACAUCUUUUAGCUUAUGUAUAAUACGUAUUCUACUACUCUUGACUGUAUAUUUAAACAGAAUUACUUGAAUAAAUCUUAUUUUAAUUUUAUUA